AUUGAACGCUGGCGGCAGGCCUAACACAUGCAAGUCGAGCGAGCGGCGGACGGUUGAGUACUGUAUGGGGACUGUCCGUUAGAGAGGGAUAACUACUGGAAACGGUAGCUAAUACCGCAUACUAUCCGAUAACCCAUUUGGGAUUAGCUAGUUGGUGAGGUAAUUGCUCACCAAGGCGACGAUCCCUAGCUGGUCUGAGAGGUUGAUCAGCCACACUGGGACUGAGACACGGCCCAGACUCCUACGGAGGCAGCAGUGGGGAAUAUUGGACAAUGGGCGAAAGCCUGAUGCAGCCAUGCCGCGUGUAUGAAGAAGGCCCUAGGGUUGUAAAGUACUUUCAGUCGGGAGGCGUUACCGACAGAAGAAGCACCGGCUAACUCCGUGCCAGCAGCCGCGGUAAUAC
rnacentral:rRNA from 1 species